AAAAAAACCACAAAAAAUGUAAAUCAUGCAACUGGAACAGGAAAAACUUAGCUGCUUAUUAGUAAGUUACAUGCAUCUAAUAAAAGUGGUAAAAUUGAACCUUAGCAGAACAAUAUUUAGCUCUUUACUGAACUAAGCAUAACUGAAGCAAAGAUGAUGUUAAGCCUGGCAACUGCAAAACAGACCAAAUACAGGCCCAGUAUUUCUACCUUAGCUCUUCUUUCAGACUCCUUAAGCCAUCCUCCUAUUUUGCAUCACUAGCCCUGAAACUUCCAUGUUUUUUGAGAAGAUAUAAAUGACAAAACUAAGGCAGAUUUUCAGCUCAACACGAAGAGGGGAGGGGUCAAAGGACAAGGUUGCAGUUCUAUGAGCCUUCCUAGUUCUGUACUGGUCCUAACAUAUACUACAGUAACUUAAAGGUAUACUCUAGGGCUCAGUUGAGACUAAGGAAUCCACAUCUAGACAGAUCUAGCCAUAGGCAUAGUGCAAAGUGGUCCAGCCUCUAGUUAUUUCAAACUCACAGCACAUUUUGAAGACAGUUACUAUCCUGUUGUUAUACAGCAUUUUUCAUCACCUAUCUCAAACUGCUUUACAAAGCAGAACAGCAUCAUUUCCAUUUUAUAUAUGGGAAAAGGAAGGUAUGUACAUGUAAAGCAACUUGCUUAAACCCACCCAGCUGGUUAGACACCAAGUCAAAUAACACAACACUGAUUUGUCUAGUCUUAAAACAAUGCUCUUACUUUAAGUCACAUUGUCAGGAAGAUUGUUUAUGAGGACGAUUAUGUUAAAGAAAAUGUUAACUGAACUGUUAUUUUCCUAAGUGUAUCACAGCAGUUCUUAAAACAAUGAAGUGCUGGUUUUGUUUAACUUUCCCACAUUCUUUUUAAAUUGGGAGAAUUUAGCAAACUUUAGAAGUUAUUUCCUCUCAAUUUUGCUAGUACUAACAUGGAAGCUUGCUUGUGG